rnacentral:tRNA from 1 species
CCCUGGGUGGCUCAGUCGGUUGAGCGUCCGACUUCGGCUCAGGUCAUGAUCUCACAGUUCGUGGGUUCGAGCCCCGCAUCAGGCU